UGCAAUCAAUACUUAAGAUUAGUUAUAACCACCUCUCGUCUGAUUUAAAGCAGUGUUUUACAUAUUGUGCUUUAUUCCCUAAAGAUUAUGAUAUUCAAAAGCAUGGAGUGAUAAAGUAUUGGGUCGCACAAGGUUUCAUUCAACCACAUAGUACAAAGGCAAUCGAAGAUGUUGGUGAUGAUUAUUUCAUGGAGUUACUAUGGAGGUCGUUCUUUCAAGAUAUAAAAAAUGAUGAAUUUGGAGAGAUUAAACAGUACAAGAUGCACGACUUCAUGCAUGAUCUUGCAAGUUCAAUAGUUGACAAAGAAUGUGUUCUUGCAAGUUUGGAUGUUGGGACUAUUGUAAAAAGAACUCGACAUGUGUUCAUUGAGUCAAGCUCAAAUAAAGUGUUGGAACUUCCGCAACUUUUAACAAAGGCAAAGAAUUUGAGAACAUUAUAUUAUCCUCCUAUUCGUCGUAACAAAACCCUUCACAUAAUCAUUUCUAUUCAUUUGCAAUUACGAAUAUUGGUUUUGAGGUACACAUGAAAGAAUUGCCCAAGUCUAUUGGCAAGUUGAAACAUUUGAGAUAUCUCGACCUUACUAAUAACAUGUGACAACUCUUCAAAAUUUGAAUAUAGGCUUAUGUCCAAAUUUAACGAUUCUACCGGAAUGGAUUGGCAAACUUACAUCACUUUCAUCAUUGUUUAUUUGGAAGUGUACAGAGAUAACUUCGCUGCCUGAAGGAAUUGGCCACCUCGUUUCACUUACACUUUUGGACGUUUCUUGGUGUUCUAAUUUAAAUUCGCUGCCGGAAGGGAUCCGCCAUCUCCACUCCUUGCAAGAGAUUUUGAUGCAUGGAUGCCCAAAAUUGAUAAAAGGGUGCAAGAAAGGAAAUGGAGAAGACUGGCCUAAAAUCGCCCAUGUCCCGAGCGUAUAUCCUCAGCCUUGACACUUGGAAGAUAACAGAAUAAUCAAUAAACCUUCAUCAGCCAGAAGGGAUGCAACCCAAGAAUUAUUUCUCAGCCUUCAUCUCUCUGAAAAUUUUGCUCAUUGAAUCAUUCAGUGGAGAAAAGAAGACCUACUAAGUAAGCCCUGAAGUAUAACAGACACAGGUGGAGGAAGGAAGGAAAGAAAAUGAUCCAAAAUAAUGUUGUUUGAACCCUUUUGAGUUGUCUCCUUUCCAUCGAGCUGGUAUAAGAUGAUAUUUGAAUGCCACUAUGAAGUGAGGUUUUUUUUUCUCUUUUUCUAUUUUCUCUCUUGUAAUAUUGUCAAAUUUGAAUGAUAUAUUUAUCUUGUUGUGUGUGCCUCUGAUUUGGACUAAAGAGGACUUUUGUAUACUUAAUAUUGUUGAUAGUGGAGAUUUUGACUACGGUCACGUGAUUUUUUACUCCUCAAA